UCUCCGUCGCUAAUAGCCGUGUUAAGCCAAAUAUCAACAUCAAUGAACGCAUUCGCGAGCAAAGCGGCGAGAGAAUCGUCGAGCUGCGCGACUGCGUCUAAGUAGUUCUUGGAGCAGUCAUCGAGCGUGUCCUCCAAAGCCGGCUCGAGGUUCCUCUGCUUCAGUUUGGACUUGAUGUAGAAAGACGUGUCUGAAGCGUUUGUGGAUGCGACGCUUAACGCUAUCACUCCGAGUUUAGGCGCAGUUGCGGUUUCUGACUCGUGACGUGAGGUUAGACUCGCAACGCAAAACGCUUUGUCUUCGGAUUUCUCGCAGAGUUUCUCGGCUAAAGCUUUGCCCGUCUCGGUAAAUGUUGGCGGUGGAGCUUUUCCGGCGAUGACCACCGUGACGACGAUGGAGAGGAAAAGGAGAAAGAUCCUUCCGACCAUUUUCAUCUUUUUUUUGUUAGGUUAUGUUUCUUCUUUUGCUCUCUUCGCGUAAUUAUUACAAAGAUCAAACUGAAAGUUGGUUAUAUAAGGAGUUUAUCAAAUAGGUAUUUUUGGGUUAUUCUAUUUGAAGAUUUUGUUUGUUGGCUACCUCUAGUCUAUCUUUAGGUGAUUCUCGUGGUUUAGGCUCGAAGGGCAUGCCAUGUUUCUUAUUGUGGGUUCAUGAGACAUUUUUGUAACGAGAAACAAGGCCAACGCACGUUUGUAAAUUUGUAAUGAUUUUUAAAAUGCACAAAUUAGGUUUUUGUUAUUCUUAUCAAUUCUUACUUGGGUUUGUAGGAUUUGGUUCCUUAAUUUCAAAUAUACAUCCAAACUAAAAAUUUAUAUGAAGGUACGAAAAAUGUUCCAACGGUUAAAAAUUUUAAGUUAUCUAAUAAAAAUAUUUAGAUGUCAAAUGUUCAACUUCUAUUGGAGAAAAUGUAUUUAAAUAAUUAUGGAUAUCCUGCCCUUUAUACGAGUAUAUGGUUCUACGUACCUAAAACAUUUUAAUCAUUAAAGAUGUUACAGAAAUUAAUGAAAUAACUAUUUAUCUAUUAGUUUGUUUAAUGAUUUAUUAGUGAUGUAUAAGUUCUGAUUUGUAAAAUUUGAUUUUUUUUCGUCUAAAUUUAUUUUAUUUAAUAUUACAUAAAAUUUCAUAUGAUACAUCACAUAAAAAAAGUCACAAACAACUUCUGAAAAAUAAUCUAAUCCGUUAAAAUAAUAUGAUAAAUAUGAAUACAAGAGAUAUCAAUGACGAAAUCCAAAUCGAAAUGUUGCCAAUACAUUGACAUAAGAUGAUUUUGUUCCAUGUUUUAACGAUCGAAAUGCUUUUUGGCAUCACAACAGGCUGUAAUCACCUCAAAACAUUCAUGGCAUUCCCACAUAUGAGAAAAUCAUCUACAUAGAUGAGUACCAUGAGUUCCACGUUUCCUUUUGAGUAGACAAACAUCAAGUAGUCUGCAUAUGAAUGCUGGAAACCAAAACGUUGAAGUACAUCUGUGAGCUUAACGAACCAGCACCUAGGUGCAUGCCGUAACCUUAUAUAGCCUUAUGGAAUCUACAUACUUUGUUCGGAUCUGAGUGUUGAAAACCUUUCGGAAGCUUCAUAUAGACCUCUUCUCAAAGAUGUCCAUGCAAGAAGGUAUUGUGUACAUCCAUCCGAUGCAUAGUCCAGCUUUUCCCUGCUAUUAUUCUCAAUAAACAACAAAUUGUUGUCAUUUUUGUGACAUGAGCAAAAUUUUCCUUAAAAUCAUGCCUUGAACCUGCUUGUUAGCCAGUGCCACAAGUUGCAAUUUAGGUCUUUCCAUUGUCCCAUCUGCGUUAUACUUGAUUUUGUAAACCCAGAUAUUCCCAAUGGCUUUCUUUCCAGGAGGCAAAUCCACUAUACUAAAAGUCUUGUUGAUUUCAAACGCAUUAAUCUCCUUUUUCAUUGAGUUUCGCCACACCUCUUCUUGCACUACCUCUUUAAAGCUUCUUUGCUCUCUCCCAUUUGUAAUUGCCGCUAGGAAAGCCUUAUGAGCAGAAAACUUUCUAUCGUCAGAGAUAUAGUUUGCAAGAGGGUAUUGUGGACUCUGAACUGUUGAACGUGGACUCUGAUUUUGGAAUGGAAGUGCUGUGAUAAUGACGGUGUUCUUCUGUGAGAUAGUGAGCAUUAUAAUUCACAUAGUCACGCAACCUUACUAACGGAAUCUUCUCAGCCUCAUUUUCAGUAAAGGUAUUUUGUUCAGUAGCGACACUCUCUUCUUUAGGUGUGCUAUGUUCUGAAAUAGCUAUCGGACUACACACAUUUUCUCCAGUAACUACUUCAUCCGUGGGAGGGACACUCCCCCGUCACUUGCUACUACAUCAAUGAUCCAAUCAUUAUCUGGACCACCGGUCAAAGAGCGUCCUUGCAAAGCUUCAAGAAGUUAGUGUUCCUACGAGCAAGCUCAGCAUCAUUACCAGCACGUUCGCUCAAAGCAUCUUCACAAGCCUCUCCGUCGCUAAUAGCCGUGUUAAGCCAAAUAUCAACAUCAAUGAACGCAUUCGCGAGCAAAGCGGCGAGAGAAUCGUCGAGCUGCGCGACUGCGUCUAAGUAGUUCUUGGAGCAGUCAUCGAGCGUGUCCUCCAAAGCCGGCUCGAGGUUCCUCUGCUUCAGUUUGGACUUGAUGUAGAAAGACGUGUCUGAAGCGUUUGUGGAUGCGACGCUUAACGCUAUCACUCCGAGUUUAGGCGCAGUUGCGGUUUCUGACUCGUGACGUGAGGUUAGACUCGCAACGCAAAACGCUUUGUCUUCGGAUUUCUCGCAGAGUUUCUCGGCUAAAGCUUUGCCCGUCUCGGUAAAUGUUGGCGGUGGAGCUUUUCCGGCGAUGACCACCGUGACGACGAUGGAGAGGAAAAGGAGAAAGAUCCUU
rnacentral:lncRNA from 1 species